UACAGAGGUCUCAAGCGUUGUUCGGAUUCAUUGGGCGUAAGGGGUGCGUAGGCGGCGCGGUAAGUCGGGUGUGAAAUCUCGGGGCUUAACUCCGAAACUGCAUUCGAUACUGCGGUGCUUGAGGACUGGAGAGGAGACUGGAAUUUACGGUGUAGCAGUGAAAUGCGUAGAGAUCAUGAGGAAGACCAGUGGCGAAGGCGGGUCUCUGGACAGUUCCUGACACUGAGGCACGAAGGCCAGGGGAGCAAACGGG
rnacentral:rRNA from 1 species